rnacentral:snRNA from 1 species
GUGCUCACUUCAGCAGCACAUAUACUAAAACUGGAACAACACAGAGAAGAUUAGCAUGGAUGCAAGGAUGACAUGCAAAUUCGUGAAGCGUUCCAUAUUUUA